rnacentral:misc_RNA from 1 species
GUUAAAAUGUAUAAUUUAUUACUUGAUAUUAUUCUUCUUUACUCUAUUAAUUAAUAGUAUGCAAAAGUUAACGUAUAUGCUACAGUAUUUGAUUUAAUAUAUUAAAAAAUAAGUUCUUUAGUCAUUUAUAAAUUAUAAAAACGAAUACAAGGAUAACUGCCCCUGGUCUGAUGCUUAAUUGGAAGGAAAUGGGAAUGCCAAAACCUCCUCU